rnacentral:misc_RNA from 1 species
GAUUAAGAACGUAGCGAAAUGCGAUACUUGGUGUGAAUUGCAGAAUCCCGUGAACCAUCGAGUCUUUGAACGCAAGUUGCGCCCGAAGCCAUUAGGCCGAGGGCACGCCUGCCUGGGCGUCACACGUCGUUGCCCCCCCAUCUACUCCUUCGGGAUUGCGGGGGGCGGAUGAUGGCCUCCCGUGCGCCUCGUCGCGCGGUUGGCAUAAAUGCCAAGUCCUCGGCGACGCACGCCACGACAAUCGGUGGUUGCGAAACCUCGGUUGCCCGUCGUGUGCGGUCGUCGCGCAUCGAGGGCUCGAAAAAAUUGUCGGGCUCCGGCUCGGCUUUCAACGCGACCCCAGGUCAGGCGGGGUUACCCGCUGAAUUUAAGCAUAUCAAUAAGCGGAGGA